rnacentral:tRNA from 1 species
GCGGGUGUAAUUCAGUGGUCAGAAUGCUUGCUUCCCAAGCAAGACGUCGGCAGUUCGAAUCUGCUCACCCGCU